GUUACAAUCACUUUGUACUUACAAGAGAAAAAGACUAUCUAAGAGAAAAAAAGGGACUAAAAAAGGAUGUCAAACACCCAAAGCCUCAACAACCAAUCUGCCACGCAAAAAGAAAAGGAAAAUCUAAAUAUAUGUAGGUAAAACACACUUUAACAAACCACUCAAAACACAUUCUACAUGUCAUAUGACAUCCUCCCCAGGAGGAACUAGCACCAUCUGAUUUCUUAAAAAGCAAUUGAAUCAAUGAGGGAGUUCUCUGAUCCCUGGUGCCACACAUUAUACUUUAUUGGCUUAGCUUUUGCAUGGAAGUCUGUUAUACUAUUGUCAUAAAAGUAAGUACUAGAAGAGAGUGUAUUUGAAGCACUCUAGGCAAGAAGCUAGAUGAGAGGUGAAAUGAUUAGUUGAGAUAUCAAGAUUUUAUGCCAUUUUUGGUUCACAAGAGUAGCAUGGUCUACUUCGUUAUCUAGAGUCAAGGGAAGCCUUCUCUUAGUUUCUACAGAGAGACAGGUCUGGUUACUGGUCCACGCUACUCUCAGUUUCACUCGUGACUGGAAAGAGAACAUCUUCUGCACACUCCAAAGUAUCACCAGAAAUGCUCAAAAUUGUGUCAUCCAUCAGCUCUUCUAGAAUAAUCUCCCCCAUCUCAACUCCGAUAUGUCCAAGAUCCAAUCGGAGAUUCAUCCAUGUCCCUGAUCUUUCCAUGUCUUUUUUGACAAGCUGUUCCAAAGAAUGAGGAGCUGAAUAUUGGAGAAGAUACCAUUCUACUCCCUCCCAUACUUCAUUUAUCAGGUCCAUCCCUUUUGGAACAGGUCGAAUGUUAUGUUUACCGAGUGACACUCUGGGGUUGCAGCCAAAAUAUCGCUCACAUACUGCUUUAAGAACUUCAUUUGCACAAUCAAAAAGGAGCUUCUGAUCAUGACAAGAACGGCUUGAAAAUAACUCUACCUCGUCAAAUAAUGAUGGGUCAAGAAUCUGGUCAGAAGAAAGCCACCUUAAGAGAAACUCAUCCCAACUUAAUCCUGAGCCAAGAAGAACUGCUUCUACAUAUUCAAAAGCAGAUUCUUCAUUUUCAAAACAAACUAUUGGACAAUCUUGUUCACUGAUGGAAGACACUGGUUCUUCGAAAUGGAUUUUCCGUGGUUGAAUUUCUGGAUCAACUGGUCGGCAUAUGGUGCUUGCAGGACUGACAUCAUCCUCUAAGAAUAAUGGCUCAAGAACUGAUAUGGGACUAGGUCGCUCCUUUCUAUCAACUGCACUGUCAGGAUCUUCAACUUUCACGAGGCUUGAAGACUCUGCAGGUGAGGCUGGUGAAGAAGAUAGACUAUUUUGAUCCUUCCCAGAUGGAUGUUCUUUUAAGCAGUCAAAUGACACUUCAAAUACAUGGGGAGAGUUUCCAUCAUCCACUGCAUUGGUCGCAUCACCAUCAAUUUGGAUUUCUCUGUCAAUUGGAACACUCAAGAUUUCACCUUCUACUUGGCAUCUGGUUUUGAUUGCUUCUUCAGUUAGAUCUCCUUCAGGACUUGUAUGACCAGUUGAAGCAGCAAUUUCAUCCAUUGUGUUCCCAUUUUCACAUGGAACAUCUAGAUUUGUACUGGCAGACUUGGUGCUCUCAUUAGGAUACUUGUCAGAACAGCUAGAUUCUAUCUCUAAGUCUUGGCUGGAUGGACUUGGACCCGUAACAUGGUCUUCUCGUACAUGCUGGAGUCUGUCAUCAGUCUCUACCUGUAUAGAAUCAGUAAGAGGCUUCCUCACUUGGAAAGGUAGCAUGCCAUCCUUGCUGUUAUUUCUCGGGCUGCAGCCAGGUGAACUAUUGUACUCGGGAAAUGAAAGUAUCCUCCCCAAGGAUUUAGACAAAUGUCCACUACUCGCCUCUGUUGUCUCGUCUUCAUUGUCCAGCAUCUCCACAAGGUGCUUCUUUGCCUCAAUGUAGAUGUUAGACAUUUCUGGCCUGGGAACAUCAGAAGUCCCAGUCAGUGUGACUGCUUCAACACCUUUUGACUUGACUAUCUUAUCCCCGCUCUUCAUUCCCAGAGGAGAUUUAGCAAAUUUUUCAGUAUAAAAAUGGUCUCUAUUAGGAGAACUCCAUCCUAAAUUUUCUCCAAAGACCCCUCUGUCACUAUUACAUCGCUUUAACUGCUCAGAUGGAAAUCGG
rnacentral:misc_RNA from 1 species